rnacentral:rRNA from 1 species
GAGAUAGAGCUUCCCCUUCGGGGGCAAAGUGACAGGUGGUGCAUGGUUGUCGUCAGCUCGUGUCGUGAGAUGUUGGGUUAAGUCCCGCAACGAGCGCAACCCUUAUUGUUAGUUGCCAUCAUUUAGUUGGGCACUCUAGCGAGACUGCCGGUGACAAACCGGAGGAAGGUGGGGAUGACGUCAAAUCAUCAUGCCCCUUAUGACCUGGGCUACACACGUGCUACAAUGGGAAGUACAACGAGUUGCGAAGUCGCGAGGCUAAGCUAAUCUCUUAAAGCUUCUCUCAGUUCGGAUUGUAGGCUGCAACUCGCCUACAUGAAGCCGGAAUCGCUAGUAAUCGCGGAUCAGCACGCCGCGGUGAAUACGUUCCCGGGCCUUGUACACACCGCCCGUCACACCACGAGAGUUUGUAACACCCGAAGUCGGUGAGGUAACCUUUUUGGAGCCAGCCGCCUAAGGUGGGAUAGAUGAUUGGGGUGAAGUCGUAACAAGGUAGCCGUAUCGGAAGGUGCGGCUGGAUCACCUCCUUUCU